rnacentral:rRNA from 1 species
GACGAACGCUGGCGGCGUGCUUAGCACAUGCAAGUCGAACGGAAAGGCCCUGCUUUUGUGGGGUGCUCGAGUGGCGAACGGGUGAGUAACACGUGAGUAACCUGCCCUUGACUUUGGGAUAACUUCAGGAAACUGGGGCUAAUACCGGAUAGGAGCUCCUGCUGCAUGGUGGGGGUUGGAAAGUUUCGGCGGUUGGGGAUGGACUCGCGGCUUAUCGGCUUGUUGGUGGGGUAGUGGCUUACUAAGGCUUUGACGGGUAGCCGGCCUGAGAGGGUGACCGGCCACAUUGGGACUGACAUACGGCCCAGACUCCUACGGGAGGCAGCAUUGGGGAAUAUUGCACAAUGAGCGGAAGCCUGAUGCAGCAACGCCGCGUGCGGGAUGACGGCCUUCGAGUUGUAAACCGCUUUCGCCUGUGACUAACCGUGAGUGACGGUAAUGCGUAAAGAAGCACCGGCUAUCUACGUGCCUACAUCCGCGCUGAUACGUAAGGAGCGAUGCGUUGUCCCGAUGUAUUGAACGUAAGGCCUCGUAGGUGGUUGAUCGCGUCAAUAGUGCAAUCGUGAAGCUUAACCCUGAGCCUGCUUUCGAUACGGGUUGUCUUGAGCAUUGUUGGUGAGAAUGGAAUUCCUGUUCCAACUGUGGAGUGGACAUAUUUCAAGUAUAACAGCAAUGGCGGUAGGCGGAUCUCAAUGUCUUUACUCGACCUGGAGCAGAAAAACCAAGGGCGGGGAACAGAAUUUAGAUUCCUGGCCCUUGCCAGCUCGAAACCGAAGGGAUUAAGGUUGGGGGUCUCAUCCCCAGGCUCCCGGCCCAAAUUAACCCUUUUAGCUUCCCCCCCCGGGGAAUACCCCCCCCCAGGGUAAAACUCAAGGAAUUGACGGGGCCCCGCACAAGCGGCGGAGCAUGCGGAUUAAUUCGAUGCAACGCGUAGAACCUUACCUGGGUUUGACAUGUAUCGGGAGUGCUCAGAGAUGGGUGUGCCUCUUUUGGGGUCGGUUCACAGGUGGUGCAUGGCUGUCGUCAGCUCGUGUCGUGAGAUGUUGGGUUAAGUCCCGCAACGAGCGCAACCCUUGUUCACUGUUGCCAGCACGUUAUGGUGGGGACUCAGUGGAGACCGCCGGGGUCAACUCGGAGGAAGGUGGGGAUGACGUCAAGUCAUCAUGCCCCUUAUGUCCAGGGCUUCACGCAUGCUACAAUGGCUGGUACAGAGAGUGGCGAGCCUGUAAGGGUGAGCGAAUCUCGGAAAGCCGGUCUCAGUUCGGAUUGGGGUCUGCAACUUGACCUCAUGAAGUCGGAGUCGCUAGUAAUCGCAGAUCAGCAACGCUGCGGUGAAUACGUUCCCGGGGCU